rnacentral:rRNA from 1 species
CAAUAGCGUAUAUUAAAGUUGUUGCGGUUAAAAAGCUCGUAGUUGGAUUUCUGCCGAGGACGACCGGUCCGCCCUCUGGGUGUGUAUCUGGCUCGGCCUGGGCAUCUUCUUGGAGAACGUAUCUGCACUUGACUGUGUGGUGCGGUAUCCAGGACUUUACUUGAAAAAAUUAGAGUGUUCAAGGCAGGCUCGCGCUGUGAAUACAUUAGCAUGGAAUAAUAAUCUAGGACUUUGUUCCUAUUUUGUUGGUUUCUAGGAAUUAAGUAAUGAUUGAUAGGGAUAGUUGGGGGUGCUAGUAUUCAGCGGCCAGAGGUGAAAUUCUUGGAUUCGCUGAAGACUAACUUAUGCGAAAGCAUUCACCAAGGAUGUCUUCUUUAAUCAAGAACGAAAGUUGGGGGAUCGAAGACGAUCAGAUACCG